AGUGAACGCUGGCGGUAGGCCUAACACAUGCAAGUCGAACGGCAGCACAGUAAGAGCUUGCUCUUACGGGUGGCGAGUGGCGGACGGGUGAGGAAUACAUCGGAAUCUACUUUUUCGUGGGGGAUAACGUAGGGAAACUUACGCUAAUACCGCAUACGACCUACGGGUGAAAGCAUGGGAUCUUCGGACCUGUCGCGAUUGAAUGAGCCGAUGUCGGAUUAGCUAGUUGGCGGGGUAAAGGCCCACCAAGGCGACGAUCCGUAGCUGGUCUGAGAGGAUGAUCAGCGACAUUGGAACUGAGCCAGGGUCCAGACUACUACGGGAGGACGCAGUGGGGAAUAUUGGACAAUGGGGGAAAGCCUGAUCCAGCGAUACCGCGUGGGUGAAGAAGGCCUUCGGGUUGUAAAGCCCUUUUGUUGGGAAAGAAAAGCAGCAGGUUAAUACCCCGCUGUUCUGACGGUACCCAAAGAAUAAGCACCGGCUAACUUCGUG
rnacentral:rRNA from 1 species